UUUUCGUGAAGGAUGGGCUCGCGGCUAUCAGUUUGUUGGUGAGGUAGUGGCUCACCAAGGCGAUGACGGUAGCCGGCCUGAGAGGCGACCGCCACACUGGGACUGAGACACGGCCCAGACUCUACGGGAGGCAGCAGUGGGGAAUAUUGCACAAUGGCGAAAGCCUGAUGCAGCGACGCCGCGUGAGGGAUGACGGCUUCGGGUUGUAACCUCUUUCAGCAGGAAGAAGCGAAAGUGACGGUACCUGCAGAAGAAGCGCCGGCUAACUACGUGCCAGCAGCCGCGGUAAUACGUAGGGCGCAAGCGUUGUCCGGAAUUAUUGGGCGUAAAGAGCUUGUAGGUGGCUUGUCGCGUCUGCCGUGAAAACCCGAGGCUCAACCUCGGGCGUGCGGUGGGUACGGGCAGGCUAGAGUGUGGUAGGGKSUAUCUGGSSCUCCUGGUGUAGCGGUKSSAUGCGCAGAUAUCAGGAAGAACACCGAUGGCGAAGGCAGGUCUCUGGGCCAUUACUGACACUGAGAAGCGAAAGCAUGGGGAGCGAACAGGAUUAGAUACCCUGGUAGUCCAUGCCGUAAACGUUGGGCACUAGAUGUGGGGAACAUCCACGUUUUCCGCGU
rnacentral:rRNA from 1 species